rnacentral:siRNA from 1 species
CGGUAUUGUUGGCCUACCGCGA